CCCGCAGGUUGCACCGCAGGAAGCAAGACAAAACCAGGGAGCUCAGAAGAGUCACUGCCCUGAUCCCUUCCGUGCCGGCAGCUGCGAGGACACAGGCCCCUUUGUAUCCUGCGGUGCGGAGGUGGAGCAGAGGAGAGGGUGCCCCGGCUGGCCCCCUCCCUCGCCCCGCAGCACUGCCCCUCCUUUCACAGCAACCCACGGCCUCCCCCGCGCUUGACCCAGCUGGCGAGCUGCCCCUUAUACCUGGAUCCGCCCCUCGGGUCGCAGCUCCCCAGGCCCGAUCACCGAGCGGUGCCUAGGAACUGGGAGCGUAACUUGGCUCGGCUCAGAACUUUGCCCGUGAGCCAAAGAACACUGAACUCAUCUACCUGCUGCUUGACAUCUCAUCUGCAUACCAAGCUAUUUGGUGGACGUCCACAAGCGCCCCCGCCCCCACGUAGACCCAGUUGGGUCCCCGUUCCGUCGGUCCCCUCCUCUGCACACGCCUCUAGCCUUAUACCCCGUCUUGAUCCGAAAGUUUUUCCACCCAUGAACCCCCAGUUGGCGCUCCCCGACCAGCAAAAGCCCCUUCCCUGGUCCACGAUCCCGACCACCCGGUUCUCCAGGAGACAAUACUCCAAUUCUCUGGAAAGUGGAAGAAACCAAGCUGAAGCUAGGGGGGCGCUGGGACCCCUAUUGGGGCUUUGAGAGCUUCCGGUUGUCAUCUCCUAAGUAUUCGGAGACCCUUCUCCAAAACUCUUGGGGUGACCCUCAAGACUCUUACCUGCUAUAUAGUUGGGGGUCUCUGGUCCUGGACUAGAGCAGUAGGCAACCUGGGUCCCCCCACACACACGGGAAAGAAUUGGAGGGGCCUGCCUUGUGAUGUCACCCCUCCUCCCCCCACCGCGCGCACGCGCGCGCGCACACACACAAACACAAACACACACCCCAACACACACGCCCUGUCCCCUUUCUCCACCCUGCAAGCUAGUUGCAUUUAGCUCACAGAGCCUGGGCUGCGACUUGAAAGAGUUUAGGCAGCAACAGAGUGACCCUGGGGGUGCUCUUGACCGACAGCCGCACCCCCGGCGUCUAGGACCUCCGAGCAGGGAUGCAUCUGGAGGUCUAGGGAAGCACUUCCACCCCCUCCUCUCCUCAAUCCUGGCAGGAUGGUGAGUAGUUAACAUCCCCUCCCCAACCCCCGCUUGUCCAGGGUCCCCAGACUUCCAAGCAGAUUGAGGAGAGGAGCUCCGAGAGUCAACCCUCCAGCCUGUAAGGACCUUGAUAUCCAAAGGACAGCUGAAGAAAGUAAUGUGCCUGCAUUUUUGCCACUUCAUUCCCACAGUGCCCGAAAUGCCAGCUCCUCCUUGGUGUUCUCCUUUCAGGAUUUGAAUUCAAAUCCCAUUGGCAGCCCUGAUACCGCUGGGGGAAGGGUGAGGUAGGAAAAGUCCCACCAAUAUCCUAAGGGGAGGUGCGAGUGGCUACCAGGAUGUGAGAUGUCUGUGGGCAAAGUCCCUGCUUAUUCCAUGAGGGGCUGUGGGAUUAGGACUGUGGCUGGAUGCCUCUUCCUCCAACAACUCCAUCUCAGCAUGAAGCUGAGGCUUUAAAACCCUGACAAACUGUGGGUGACUG
rnacentral:lncRNA from 10 species